rnacentral:lncRNA from 1 species
CGAAAUCCUUAAUGAUGAGAAGUGGUAACUUCAAGAAACCAAGAGGGCAGUGAACUAUUUUGAUAGAGAGAAAGAUGAUGAGAAGAAGAGCAAAGGUGCAUCCGACAGGUCUCAGUCUCUUGACAAGCUCGGAGAAUGAAUUUGUGUUUCUUUUGAGGAAUUAUCUAAUGCUAUCCCUACAGUGACUUCUUUCAUUGCAUGGAGAAUACAGAGUGCUGUUAUAAUCCUAUAUCAGAUUAUUUACUGCCUCAGAGAGAGGUGAGGGAGGAAGAGAAUCCAGAUUGCAAAAUGUGAGAAAACAACUCUUAACAAUUUUCUACAUAUAACUUUAAAAAUGUUUUUCUUUUUC